rnacentral:rRNA from 1 species
CGACUCUCNGNAAUGGAUAUNUNGGCUCUCGCAUCGAUGAAGAACGUAGCGAAAUGCGAUACUUAGUGUGAAUUGCAGAAUCCCGUGAAUCAUCGAGUCUUUGAACGCAAGUUGCGCCCGAAGCCUCGGCCAAGGGCACGUCUGCCUGGGCGUCGCAAACCA